rnacentral:rRNA from 1 species
AUGAUUUCUUCUUCUUUUUUCCUCUUCUCUUUCACCGCCACUCUCUUUCUCAUUCUCACCAGGCGCCACGCGUCUUAUCCCCAUUCCGCGGCGACCCCAAUCCCGGUGACGAAACCCCGGCAGCCCCCGACGUUGUCCAUGGAGGGAGCCUGCGGCCCAUGGAUCCCACCGUUUUGGGGCGAUUUCCUAAGGCGGGCGAUGUGGUGGGAGGCGGGUUGGAGCUCUAGGCGGUGGUGGUGGGCGGGGCUGAUCCAGGAUGGAGGGCAGCGACUGCCGACGAUCGAAGCGUCACCAUGCGACAGGUUGUCGGCGCACUCCGUGAUGCAGGUGCCCUUCUCGAAGCAUGGCAAGCUCAACCGCCUCGCCGACCUGGGCGCCUCCUUCAGCGGCGCCAGGAUCCCCUUGAAGCCCGGUGGCGCUGGAUCUCCACUCUGGCAGUGGCCGCUGCCCCUUCAAGCGCGAGGCCCUGGCACAAUAACAGGAGAUGUGCCGCCUGUGCUAGGUCAUCACUAG